UACGUAGGGUGCGAGCGUUAAUCGGAAUACUGGGCGUAAAGCGUGCGCAGGCGGUGAUGUAAGACAGAUGUGAAAUCCCCGGGCUCAACCUGGGAACUGCAUUUGUGACUGCAUCGCUGGAGUGCGGAGAGGGGGAUGGAAUUCCGCGUGUAGCAGUGAAAUGCGUAGAUAUGCGGAGGAACACCGAUGGCGAAGGCAAUCCCCUGGGCCUGCACUGACGCUCAUGCACGAAAGCGUGGGGAGCAAACAGG
rnacentral:rRNA from 1 species